rnacentral:misc_RNA from 1 species
CGGAUCAGAAGCUCAGUUGACUUCUGGUACUUGCGGAUCUCACGAAGAGCCACAGUUCCUGGCCUGAAUCUGUGAGGCUUCUUCACUCCUCCGGUGGCUGGAGCUGACUUUCUGGCAGCUUUGGUCGCCAAUUGCUUCCUUGGAGCUUUUCCUCCGGUAGAUUUUCGGGCUGUUUGCUUAGUACGAGCCAUUUGGGAAUUAGGGUUUAUGAGAUUCGGUGAAAAGAGAUAGAAAAUUUGAGAUAGUUCUUGAGAUUUUGAAUGUGAU